rnacentral:rRNA from 1 species
AGCGAACGCUGGCGGCAGGCUUAACACAUGCAAGUCGAGCGGGCACUUUCGGGUGUCAGCGGCGGACGGGUGAGUAACGCGUGGGAACGUGCCCUCUGGUUCGGAAUAACUCAGGGAAACUUGAGCUAAUACCGGAUACGCCCUUUUGGGGAAAGGCUUGCUGCCGGAGGAUCGGCCCGCGUCUGAUUAGCUAGUUGGUGAGGUAACGGCUCACCAAGGCGACGAUCAGUAGCUGGUCUGAGAGGAUGAUCAGCCACACUGGGACUGAGACACGGCCCAGACUCCUACGGGAGGCAGCAGGGGGGAAUAUUGGACAAUGGGCGCAAGCCUGAUCCAGCCAUGCCGCGUGAGUGAUGAAGGCCUUAGGGUUGUAAAGCUCUUUUAUCCGGGACGAUAAUGACGGUACCGGAGGAAUAAGCCCCGGCGAACUUCGU